rnacentral:rRNA from 1 species
ACAAACCAAAUGUUUGAAACUCAAAGGACUUGGCGGUGUCCCAAACCCACCUAGAGGAGCCUGUUCUAUAAUCGAUAAUCCACGAUCUACCUCACCACCUCUUGCCCACAGCCUAUAUACCUCCGUCCACAGCUUACCCUACUAAGGAACAAAAGUAAGCACAACAGCUUAUACAGCUAAUAAGUCAGGUCAAGGUGUAGCCAAUUGAGAUGGAAGAAAUGGGCUACAUUUUCUACACUAGAAAUAUUAACGGAAAGAGCCCUGAA